rnacentral:tRNA from 1 species
GUCUCAGUAGCUCAGCUGGAUAGAGCAACGCCCUUCUAAGGCGUCGGUCGGGGUUCGAAUCCCUCCUGGGACG